rnacentral:misc_RNA from 1 species
GGUGGUGGUGGUGGCCGCGGCGGUAACAGUGGUGGUAUUGUUAUCGUUCGUGAUGAGGCUCAUGGUUGCUGCCAUGCCAUAAACUAAGUAAUCAAGGCCAUAAUCUCCAUCUUGGCUUUGGUCUUCCCACUUUAUAGUUGGGGGCAGAGACUUAAUUUCUCAUAGAAUUGUACGAAUUGAGUGGUGAAAGUGGCACCCAACUUAAUAUAUGGUUUAGAACAAAA